CUGAGAUUACAGGCGUGAGCCUGGCCUUAUUUUUUAGAGACAGACUUGCUCUGUUGCCCAGGCUGGAUGAGGUGAUGAGAUCAUAGCUCACUGCAGCCUUGGGCUCAAGUGGUCCUCCUGCCCCUGCCUCUUGAAUAGCUGGGACUGCAGUUCUGCACCACCACAUCCAGCUACGCGCAUGCUUUCUGAUGCCUGGUUCAGCAGACAUGGAGGCUAUGGGGGCUGUCUUGGGGUGAUCAUCGUGAGGAUGGCCUGGAAUAUUUAUGUGCAUGUGUGUAAGCAUGUGUCUCAAGGAGGCUCCAGGCUGCUGACCCCAGAGCCAGCUCUCUCCUUAUGAAAUAACACCUCUUAGAUCCAUAAGACUUUACAAAAAUUUUUAUUCUGUUUACACAGGACCUUGUCUCAUUCAAUCCUUCCAAUUACCAAAAGAAGCAGGCAAGACAAACUGUUACACCCAUUUUAUGGGUUAGAAUGAUUUACUCCAAGAGAGAUGCACUUGCCUAAGACCAUCAGCUGUAGAGCUGGGCUAAUCCCAGUGCAUGACUCUUCCAUGAAUUGUGUGUUAAUUAUUUAUUUAUUGAGAGAGGGUCUUGCUCUGUCCCCCAGGCUGUAGUACAGUGGCAUGAUCACAGCUCACUGCAGCCUCAACCACCUGGGCUGAAGUGAUCCUCCCACCUCAGCCCCACAAGUAACUGGGACUACAUGCACACACCACCACAUCUGGCUAAUUUUUGUAUUUUUUUUAGAGACGAGGUUUUGCCAUGUUGCCCAGGCUGGUUUUGAACUCCUGGGCUCAAGUGAUCUGCUCAUCUUGGCCUUCCAAAGUGCUGGGAUUACAGGUGUGAGCCACCGUGCCCAGCCCCAUUUAUUUCACGAACAACUAACUACUCACUGACCACCUAGCAUGUGUCAGCCACUGUCCCAGGAACUUCUACUCACCGGCUUGCUCUCCUGAGAGAAGUGUGUUCAAGGCCCCUGCCCCUGCCACUAAGGAUGAGUUUUAAGUGAUGGAAUUAACAAGCCACGACUCUACUGCACAUUAAAAGGCAGGUGGCAGCACAGUGUGGCAGUUAAGAGCUGUGCUCCUCGGCCGGCCGCAGUGGCUCAUGCCUGUAAUCCCAGCACUCUGGGAAGCCAAGGCAAGCGGAUCACCUGAGGUCAGGAGUUCGAGAUCAGCCUAGCCAAUAUGGUGAAUCCCUGUCUCUACUAAAAAUACAAAAAUUAGCUGGGUGUGGUGGCACACGCCUGUAGUCCCAGCUACUCGGGGGGCUAAGGAAGGAGAAUCGCUUGAACCCAGGAGGUGGAGGUUGCAGUGAGCCGAGAUCUCACCAUUGCACUCCAGCCUGGGCAACACAGUGAGACUCUGUCUUGAGAAAAAAAAAAAAAAAAAAAAAGUCGGCCGGGCGCAGUGGUUCACGCCUGUAAUCCCAGCACUUUGGGAGGCCGAGGUGGGUGGAUCACGAGGUCAGGAGAUCGAGACAAUCCUGGCUAACACGAUGAAACCUCAUCUCUACUAAAAAUACAAAAAAUUAGCCAGGCGUGGUGGUGGGCGCCUGUAGUCCCAGCUACUUGGGAGGCUGAGGCAGGAGAAUGGCAUGAACCCGUGAGGCAGAGCUUGCAGUGAGCAGAGAUCGCGCCACUGCACUCCAGCCUGGGCAACAAAGCGAGACUCCGUCUCAAAAAAAAAAAAAAAAACAUACACAUACACACACAAAAAGUCAGCUGGGGGUGGUGGCACACGCCUGUAAUCCCAACUACUGGGGAGGGUGAGGCAGGAGAAUCCCUUGAACCUGGGAGGUGGAGGUUGCAGUGAGCCAAGAUUGAGCUACUGCACCUCCAGCCUAGGCAACAGCGAGACUCUGUCUCUCUCUCCUACACACACACACACACACACACACACACACACACACACACACAAACACAAAGAAAAAAGAAAAAAAGAAAAACAAAAGAGCUGUGCUCCAGAGUCAGACUGUCCUUGAGUCCCAGCCCUGCCAUCCAGUAUGUCAAUUCCCUGUAUUUCCUCAUGCACAAAACAAGGGUAUAAUUAUGCCAGUCAUAUAGGGCUGUUGUAAGGAUUGACUGAGUUAAUAUAGGUAACGCAAUUACAACCCUGCCACUACACAGUAAGAGCCCAGCAAAUAUGAACUGCUACAAUUUUAAAGUUCCUUAGCAUUGUCUUGAAACAAGGGGAAGUUAAAACAAAACAAAAAAAAAGUCCCUGGCCGAGCAUGGUGGCUCACACUGGUAUUUCCAGCACCAUGGGAGGACAAGGCAAGCGGAUCACUCGAGGCUAGGAUUUCAAGACCAGCCUAGGCAACAUAGCGAGAACCUGUCUCUACAAAAAAAUUUAAAAAUUAGCAGGGCGUGAUGGUGCGUGCCUGUGGUCCCAGCUACUGGAGAGUCUGAGGCUGCAGUGAGCUAGAAUUUUGCCACCACACUCCAGCCAGAGCCACAGAGUCAGAUCCUGUCUCAAAAGAAAAAGGCUCUUUUAAGGUUGGGCGCGGUGGCUGACACCUGUAAUCCCAGCACUUUGGGAGGCCAAGGCGGGCAGAUCACCUGAGGUCAGGAGUUUGAGACCAGCCUGGCCAACAUGGUGAAACUCUGUCUCUACUAAAAAUACAAAAAUUAGCCAGGCGUGGUGGCAGGUGCCUGUAAUCCCAGCUACUCAGGAGGUUGAGGUGGGAGAAUCUCUUGAACCUGGGAGACAGAGGUUGCAGUGAACUGAGAUCGCGCCACUGCACUCCACUCUGGGUGACAGAGUGAGACUCCGUCUCAAAAAACAAACAAAAAAAGUCCUCUCCCAAGGCCAUGCUCCUGGUGGCAGCUGGCACCCAAAGGCUGAGCACUUGAGCAGAAUGGAAGCCUGACCACCUGCCCUGACUUAGAACAACUCUGCCGGGCUAAGCUGGCGGAGGCGCACACUGGGCUUGCAUUGCUGCUCAACCUCUCCCUCUGCUCCAGUCUGUCACCUGGGCCUGCUUUCCUGGGUGUUGAUCCCAGGAGCAACCACAAUAAAUGCCCUGCAUGUUGGCCUCUCCAAGCCGCUUCCCAAGGAACCCAACCUGUGACAGGCACAGCAGAUGCAGAGAUGACUAAGCCACAGUCUGGCCUUCAAGAAUGUCAAGGCCAAGUGGGAACUGCGAUCUCAUGCAGCUCGCUGGGGUUAGCACAAAGUGCAAUGAAGCCUGGUUGGAGGGGCUGGAAUUGAGGGAGUCCAGGCCCUACUGGGGACCAGCCAGGUUGCCCACGAAGGUGUUGGUGAGUGUGGUCUGGCCAGGAGAAACAGGGAGCCCAGGAUUUCACUGAAGAAUCUGUGGACUGAGGCCUAAUGUCAGCAGAGCAGCUCCAGAGUCAGCAGCUGUGGAAAGACAGCCCCCCAGCUAAGUGGGGUUUGGGAGUGAAGAGGAGGCUGCCGUGAUGCGCAGUCCAGAGUGAGCAGGAGUGACCUCCCACUCUUCCACGCCAGGUUCCUCUCUCUCCCUUCUCUGUCCUGUGCUUUCCGAAAUGGAGCUGGCUGACACCACGUUUUCCAUCCUUCAAACCAACUAUCUUCUGCUGACUCCCCUCUCACCUCCAAAAGCUAGGCCUUUCUCAGGGGCUCCAGUUCCUUGAUCCCGCCUCUCUGAAGUCCUGCAGCACCGGCCCGUAUUGCCAUACAUGCAGGCUGCUCACACGACUUUCAUGGAAUCAUAAAAUUGGAAGCCACCCCGGAGGCCCAUCUAGUGCUGCCUCCUACCUCAGGGAGGGCCCUUCUCUACAGCCUGUCAGGGCCGAACAGUCCCACUGACUGGGAACUCUCAGAAGACAGCCUGAGCUAGUCACUUUCCUUCCUUUGAGCCCAAACUGAUCUAUCUCUGGAGUCACUGAUUGAAAUAUCACUUCUUUUCCCAUAUGAUAGUCCUUCAAAUCAGAUGGUCACACAAGAGUCACUUUUUUGAGUGCUGAUACAUUGUUCUUGUCAGCAAAUCCUCAUAACAAUCCUAUAAAGAAACCAAGAAGGUGCUCAGAAAGGUUGAGGAAUUUGCUGUGGCUACCUUCUGCUACCAGCUGUGGUUAUUUCUGCUACCAGCAACAGAGCUGAGAUCUGAUAUUCGACUCCAACUCCAGUGCUCUUGAAGCACAAAAGCAGAUUUGGCAUCACAGAACCCUCCAGAUGCAUUCCCAAGGACUCUAAGGAGUUGAGAGAACUCCUCUAGGGUUCACUAUUGGUGAGGGGCUCAGAGGCUGGAAGCCUGGCAAGUAGGCAGGCAUGAUCCUAUAACGGAUGGCUCCCUGAUACACCCACCUGCAGGUCUGAAGUUGGAAGAGAAUUAUGAGGGCUGUGAGCAAGCUCUCUGGAGUGCUGAGCUAAGGGUGCCCAUGGCCACAGACAUGGGAGGAAGGAUGCCAAGGAGGCAGGCACAUUAGUCGUCCUUCUGCCAGCUUCACCAGUCCACAGAGCCUUGCUGUCUUUAUCUUCUUUAACCCCCGAAACAGGGCUCUCUCCCCGGCGACCCAUACCAUGCUACCCUCAGCAGCUCAGAGUUAAGAUUCUUUGGUCAAGCUUUUUUUUUUUUUUUCUUGAGAAGAAGUCUCGCUCUGUCGCCCAGGCUGAGUGCAAUGGCACGAUCUCAGCUUACUGCAACUUCCGCCUCCCAGGUUCAAGCUAUUCUCCUGCCUCAGCCUCUUGAGUAGCUGGGACUACAGGCAUGUGCCACCACACCUGGCUAAUUUUUGUAUUUUUAGUAGAGACGGGGCCUCCCUAUGUUGGCCUGGCUGGUCUUGAACUCCUGACCUCAGGUGACCUGCCCACCUUGGCCUCCUAAAGUGCUGGGAUUACAGGCGUGAGCCACUGCUCCUGGCCUGGUCGAGCUUUUUGACUACAAUCUGCAUGAAGGCGGCAAGUUCUUUCUGCUGACUUUGUUGUCACUGAGAGCAACGCAAUAUGUCUGUUUUAUUUUUUUCUUUUGAGAGAAGUGGUCUUGCUAAGUUUCCCAGGCCCCUCCUAUAUGGUUAGAGGAAAUAUAAAGAACAUGCAAUCACCCAAGCAAAGUGAGGACAAAGAUGGUUUCUCUUCAGUGCUGAGUCUAGAGAGCAGAGAAGCAGGGCAAGCCGGAGCCAGAUAUGACUGGAGAAAGCAGCUGGCCACGUGUGAGGCCAGGUUACACAAUCAGUUCAACUGCCCAUCAGUGGGGGCUGUGACGACAGAACCCAAGACCCCUUCAGCUGAGGCUGAGCCCAGGCUAGGGCUAACAGCACCGCAAUGAUGCCAAUACACUGCCCUUCAUUCCACUGGCUCAGCCCACCCCAAGGUCAGGCAGGCAGGCAACCACUGCCCAGGGAGCAGCAGACAUGAGGCAAAGGAGACGCGGGGAGAGAUUUAAUUUACAUAGCAGCCACUUGGGGUCCAGUCAGAGCUGGGGCAGUGGGGGAAUCUAUAACCC
rnacentral:lncRNA from 1 species